rnacentral:rRNA from 1 species
GGAUUGAUACCCUGGUAGUCCAUGCCGUAAACGAUGUGUGUUAGACGUUGGAAAUUUAUUUUCAGUGUCGCAGCGAAAGCAGUAAACACACCGCCUGGGGAGUACGGCCGCAAGGUUAAAACUCAAAUGAAUUGACGGGGGCCCGCACAAGCGGUGGAGCAUGUGGUUUAAUUCGAAGAUACGCGCAGAACCUUACCAACACUUGACAUGUUCGUCGCGGCUCUAAGAGAUUAGAGCUUUCGGUUCGGCCGGACGAAACACAGGUGCUGCAUGGCUGUCGUCAGCUCGUGUUG